UACAGAGGGUGCGAGCGUUAAUCGGACUUACUGGGCGUAAAGGGCGCGUAGGUGGAGAAUUAAGUCAGAUGUGAAAUCCCAGGGCUCAACCUUGGAAUGGCAUUUGAAACUGGUUAUCUAGAGUAUGGUAGAGGGAAGGGGAAUUUCCGGUGUAGCGGUGAAAUGCGUAGAUAUCGGAAGGAACAUCAGUGGCGAAGGCGCCUUCCUGGACUAAUACUGACACUGAGGCGCGAAAGCGUGGGUAGCAAACAGG
rnacentral:rRNA from 1 species